GAUGAACGCUGGCGGCGUGCCUAAUACAUGCCAGUCGAGCGAACGGACGAGAAGCUUGCUUCUCUGAUGUUAGCGGCGGACGGGUGAGUAACACGUGGAUAACCUACCUAUAAGACUGGGAUAACUUCGGGAAACCGGAGCUAAUACCGGAUAAUAUUUUGAACCGCAUGGUUCAAAAGUGAAAGACGGUCUUGCUGUCACUUAUAGAUGGAUCCGCGCUGCAUUAGCUAGUUGGUAAGGUAAUGGCUUACCAAGGCAACGAUGCAUAGCCGACCUGAGAGGGUGAUCGGCCACACUGGAACUGAGACACGGUCCAGACUCCUACGGGAGGCAGCAGUAGGGAAUCUUCCGCAAUGGGCGAAAGCCUGACGGAGCAACGCCGCGUGAGUGAUGAAGGUCUUCGGAUCGUAAAACUCUGUUAUUAGGGAAGAACAUAUGUGUAAGUAACUGUGCACAUCUUGACGGUACCUAAUCAGAAAGCCACGGCUAACUACGUG
rnacentral:rRNA from 1 species